rnacentral:rRNA from 1 species
GACGAACCGUACGAACGUUAUUCGGAAUCACUGGGCUUAAAGGGUGCGUAGGCGGCGCGACAAGUUGGGUGUGAAAUCCCUCGGCUCAACCGAGGAACUGCGCCCAAAACUGUCGUGCUCGAGGGAGACAGAGGUGAGCGGAACUUAGGGUGGAGCGGUGAAAUGCGUUGAUAUCGGAAGGAACACCAGUGGCGAAGGCGACCACCUGGACUGAUACUGACACUGAGGUGCGAAAGCGUGGGGAGCAAACAGG